GACGAACGCUGGCGGCGUGCUUAACACAUGCAAGUCGACCGAAGUGGCGCACGGGUGAGUAACGCGUACUCCAACUGCCCUUCAGAGGGGGACCACAGUUGGAAACGACUGCUAAUCCCGCAUCCUGAGGGAGGGGAAUGCGUCUGUGUAGCUGUUUGGAGGUGAAACGGCCCACCAAGGCUAUGAUCAGUAGCCGGACGUGGGUGAGGAACGGCAACAGUGGGACUUAGACACGGCCCAUAACCCUAUGGGAGGCAGCAGUAGGGAAUCUUCCGCAAUGGACGAAAGUCUGACGGAGCAACGCCGCGUGAGUGAUGAAGGCCGUCGGGUUGUAAAGCGCUGUUAAUCGGGACGCGGUACCGGAUUAGAAAGCCACGGCUAACUACGUGCCAGCAGCCGCGGUAAUUC
rnacentral:rRNA from 1 species